UUGAACGCUGGCGGCAUGCUUUACACAUGCAAGUCGAACGGUAACAGGUCUUCGGAUGCUGACGAGUGGCGAACGGGUGAGUAAUGCAUCGGAACGUGCCCAGUCGUGGGGGAUAACGUAGCGAAAGUUACGCUAAUACCGCAUACGUCCUGAGGGAGAAAGCGGGGGACCGUAAGGCCUCGCGCGAUUGGAGCGGCCGAUGUCGGAUUAGCUAGUUGGUGGGGUAAAGGCCUACCAAGGCGACGAUCCGUAGCGGGUCUGAGAGGAUGAUCCGCCACACUGGGACUGAGACACGGCCCAGACUCCUACGGGAGGCAGCAGUGGGGAAUUUUGGACAAUGGGGGCAAGCCUGAUCCAGCAAUGCCGCGUGAGUGAAGAAGGCCUUCGGGUUGUAAAGCUCUUUCAGACGGGAAGAAAACGCAUCGGUGAAUACCCGGUGUGGAUGACGGUACCGUAAGAAGAAGCACCGGCUAACUACGU
rnacentral:rRNA from 1 species